ensembl:lncRNA
GGGGCCUGAAUGAGGUAAACUACAAAAAAAGACCCACUCUAUUUAAGGGGGACAAGCACCUAGGCAGGUCUAGCUGACUGUCGCCAUACAGAAAUCACGACACAAUGUUGCCAGAUGUUCCAGUUCUUCAAAAUAAAAUGAAAUUUGGAUUUUGUCAACUCUUCUGAUUUUUAAAGGCAACCUUUUCUUUAAUGUUAAAUAUUGCGCAAGGCCAAGAAGGUAUGUCUAAUAAGCCACAUUCUGCCUAAGGGCUGAGAAUUUGCAACCUUGGGUUUAAACGAUAAGAGUUAGGUUACACGUAAGAGACCAGAGGUGAGAGAUGGACCUGUAAAAUAUAUUAGGCUUCACUGGAGUAUUAGAAUAGGAAUGUAGUAUAUUACAAAUACAGAUGGAUAGGAUAGAGUUAAUUGCUAAUAUUCUUUGAAAUCAAGAACCAAGAAUCCAGAAUCAAAGUGCAAGAAGACUGAGCUUCUCAAAACCUAGAAGCAAGUCUCAGUUUAGCAGUGCCUGGUUCACAAAAGGACUCUCAAAAGUUAGCUGAACUCAAUGAAUUGAGGACCACACAUAUCAAUUUACAACUGCAAAGCUAAAGAAUGCUUCUAAGUGGAAAUUUUUCAUAGACAGGAAUUUCUGAAGAUUAAACUAGGGGAAACGGUUAAAGGCAAAGCAGCUAGUAGUGUUCAAGAGACUAAAUCAAGGAAAGAGUAGAUGAAUUUGGACGAAGACAUUAGCAAAAACGAGUAACAGGAGAUACAGAGAACAAGCAAAAAGGAUUCUGCAAUGAAACAUUAUGAAACAGGAAAAGAAGACUCUGGAAGGAAUUUAAUCUGGGUCACAUUUAUAUAUUGUAUUUUCUUAACUCUAACAUGAUCAUUUUAAUGUUUUUGAAAUCAGGGUGAUACAUACAAAUCAAUGUCAUUUCUCUAUCCACUUUUCUCAAAAAAAAAACAGUUCUAGAAACCAACAAUGAAUCUUACAAUUAAUGACAUCUCUGACUCAUGGAAAUGUGACAUGUGUAGCAGUUCUCCUUUCUGUAGAAUAUAAAAUAAAUUAAAAAGGGAGCAGGGAGCAGCAGAUUUGAAGUAGCCUAAAGGUAAAUGGUGCCAAUAAGAAAUGAUGAGACCUCUAAAUGAAAAGGAAGAACCACAUAAAGACUUGACCAACCCUAGAAGGUAUCCAACAGAAGACAGCCACAGAACAGCCAAAACAAAGGAAAAAUCAACCAGUGCCUCACAAAGAGUCUACCCAAGAAGAGAGUAAAGAGAGAUGUACAAAAUCACAAUGAAAUUGUCAGCGACAAUGAUUGGCCCACUGCUAAUGAAGAUAUAAGAGGCAGAGUUUUUUUGUUUUCUUUAAUAAGGGGACCAGGUGAAAGCAAGAAGUAAAAAGCAAAAUGCCAAACUGAAACGAAGGUUAUGGUGAAGAAUAAAAAAAGAAGAUUAAGAGUUAUGGUUCACUAGGGAAGACAGCUAGUGGUUAGGGUGGGUGACGGCUAGAAUUUAAGAAUAGGUAAUAAUAUUUCUUUUAUAAUCUUUCUAAUUUUAAAAAAUCUACUGAAUUCUAAAUGCUCUCUCAUAACUCUCAUCCACCCUACUCUAAUACUUAGAUAACAAGCACAAAAUAACAAAACAGAAAAAGCACACUAUUUGUCAAGAAGUUACCUACCUGGCAACCUCAAAUCCCUGCUUUGCAGCCAAAAUAAAUAGGACAAAAUCCAUACUCUAAAGUUCACACCUUUAUACAAAACAGGCUCUCAGAUAUUUCUCACUCUUAAACAACUGUAAACAGCCUUGGCUAUCUAUCCGGUUUCAUAGAAGAUUAGAAGCAGCAAAUAAUAUUAGCAGGAGGGUAGAGAAAGCAAGUAUACUUGAUAUCAUUAAAAAGUGACAGCUAAUAUAGAAACAAGAAAAUUGGCUAUAAAAGAAUCAACAACUUCAAAUACAGCCAUCUCGAACCAUUAAAUGUAGAGGGCAAAUCAUCCUACACACCUCAAUAAUCCUAAGGCAUCACACCAAACAAUAACUAUUCAAAUGAUGAUCUGAGCGCUCAAAAAAGAUUAUAUUAAGGUUCUGAACACUCUGUCCACAUACAAUUUAUUUAAGAUGGAUAAAACACUUUUAAAAUCUCACAUAAGGCAUAACUACUUUGAAAACAAAGUUGCAUAUUUUAAAUUCCAGAACUAAAAGCACAGACCAUAUUUUUGGCUUUGCAAAACAUGGGCAGUGGUAGAAAGAGAGGCAGGAAACUUAAAACAAAAAAUCUCUGGAUAACGUGUCUGCAUGAAAGGCAAAAAGAAGAUCAGAGAACACUGGAGGGCAAGAAGACCUAUGUUUGCAUAUUGGCUGUGUCAGCUAAUAUCUCUGUCACCCUCUUCCACUUAACCUCUUAGAGUCUCAGUUUCCUCACCUGUAAAACGCAGAUACCACCACCACCUACAAGGUACUUUAAAAAAGUAACUAUCCAGAGAAGAUGGGAAUGAGUGGUGAAGAGAAGGCCAGAUGUUUUUAAACACAUCUUGGUGCUU